rnacentral:rRNA from 1 species
AACGAACGCUGGCGGCAUGCCUAACACAUGCAAGUCGAACGAGCCCUUCGGGUCUUGUGGCGCACGGGUGCGUAACGCGUGGGAAUCUGCCCUUAUAUUCGGUAUAACUUCCCGACAUGGGCGCUAAUCCCAUACAAUCUCCUCGGGCAAAAGAUUUAUCGGCUUUGGAUGGGCCCGCGUUGGAUUAGCUAGUUGGUAGGGUAAACGCCUACCAAGGCGACGAUCCAUAGCUGGUCUGAGAGGAUGAUCAGCCACACUGGGACUGAGACACGGCCCAGACUCCUACGGGAGGCAGCAGUGGGGAAUAUUGGACAAUGGGCGAAAGCCUGAUCCAGCAAUGCCGCGUGAGUGAUGAAGGCCUUAGGGUUGUAAAGCUCUUUUACCCGAGAAGAUAAUGACAGUACCGGGAGAAUAAGCCCCGGCUAACUCCGUG